GAUGAACGCUGGCGGCGUGCCUAAUACAUGCAAGUCGAGCGAACGGACGAGAAGCUUGCUUCUCUGAUGUUAGCGGCGGACGGGUGAGUAACACGUGGAUAACCUACCUAUAAGACUGGGAUAACUUCGGGAAACCGGAGCUAAUACCGGAUAAUAUUUUGAACCGCAUGGUUCAAAAGUGAAAGACGGUCUUGCUGUCACUUAUAGAUGGAUCCGCGCUGCAUUAGCUAGUUGGUAAGGUAACGGCUUACCAAGGCAACGAUGCAUAGCCGACCUGAGAGGGUGAUCGGCCACACUGGAACUGAGACACGGUCCAGACUCCUACGGGAGGCAGCAGUAGGGAAUCUUCCGCAAUGGGCGAAAGCCUGACGGAGCAACGCCGCGUGAGUGAUGAAGGUCUUCGGAUCGUAAAACUCUGUUAUUAGGGAAGAACAUAUGUGUAAGUAACUGUGCACAUCCUGACGGCACCUAAUCAGAAAGCCACGGCUAACUACGUG
rnacentral:rRNA from 1 species